rnacentral:rRNA from 1 species
AAUCAACGCUGGCGGCGUGCCUCAGACAUGCAAGUCGAACGCGAAAGGCUCCUUCGGGGGCCGAGUAGAGUGGCGCACGGGUGAGUAACACGUAGGUAAUUUGCCUUUGGGUGGGGAAUAACUCAGGGAAACUUGAGCUAAUACCGCAUAAUGCAGCGGCUCGACAUCGAGACAGUUGUUAAAGCGGGGGAUCGCAAGACCUCGCGCCUGAAGAGAAGCCUGCGGCAGAUUAGCUAGUUGGUAGGGUAAUGGCCUACCAAGGCGACGAUCUGUAACCGGCCUGAGAGGGCGGUCGGUCACACUGACACUGACAUACGGGUCAGACUCCUACGGGAGGCAGCAGUCGGGAAUUUUGGGCAAUGGGCGCAAGCCUGACCCAGCAACGCCGCGUGAAGGAUGAAAUCCCUCGGGAUGU